UGGAGAUUCAGAGGGCAUAUAGAUGAACGUUCCUAUAGAUGUCUGGUCUAAGCUAAAAACAACUUCUGUCCUACUAAAAACAACUACUGUCCUACUAAAAACAACUACUGUCCUACUAAAAACAACUACUGUCCUACUAAAAACAACUACUGUUCUACUAAAAACAACUACUGUUCUACUAAAAACAACUACUGUCCUACUAAAAACAACUACUGUCCUACUAAAAACAACUACUGUCCUACUAAAAACAACUACUGUCCUACUAAAAACAACUACUGUCCUACUAAAAACAACUACUGUCCUACUAAAAACAACUACUGUUCUACUAAAAACAACUUCUGUCCUACUAAAAACAACUUUUUAAUAACUUGCAGUAGUCGCUUGUUAAUAAAUGAGUUAUGAACAUUUUCCAAGUAUCUGUAAAGCAUGUCUGUGUUCCUCCAGGUAUUUAAUAAGUAUCUGUAAAGCAUGUCUGUGUUUCUCCAGGUAUUUAAUAAGUAUCUGUAAAGCAUGUCUGUGUUUCUCCAGGUAUUUAGUAAGUAUCUGUAAAGCAUGUCUGUGUUUCUCCAGGUAUUUAAUAAGUAUCUGUAAAGCAUGUCUGUGUUUCUCCAGGUGUUCAGGUAUUUAAUAAGUAUCUGUAAAGCAUGUCUGUGUUUCUCCAGGUAUUUAAUAAGUAUCUGUAAAGCAUGUCUGUGUUUCUCCAGGUAUUUAAUAAGUAUCUGUAAAGCAUGUCUGUGUUCCUCCAGGUAUUUAAUAAGUAUCUGUAAAGCAUGUCUGUGUUUCUCCAGGUAUUUAAUAAGUAUCUGUAAAACAUGUCUGUGUUUCUCCAGGUAUUUAAUAAGUAUCUGUAAAGCAUGUCUGUGUUUCUCCAGGUAUUUAAUAAGUAUCUGUAAAGCAUGUCUGUGUUUCUCCAGGUAUUUAAUAAGUAUCUGUAAAACAUGUCUGUGUUUCUCUAGGUAUUUAAUAAGUAUCUGUAAAGCAUGUCUGUGUUUCUCCAGGUAUUUAAUAAGUAUAUGUAAAACAUGUCUGUGUUUCUCCAGGUAUUUAAUAAGUAUCUGUAAAGCAUGUCUGUGUUUCUCCAGGUAUUUAAUAAGUAUCUGUAAAGCAUGUCUGUGUUUCUCCAGGUGUUCAGGUAUUUAAUAAGUAUCUGUAAAGCAUGUCUGUGUUUCUCCAGGUAUUUAAUAAGUAUCUGUAAAGCAUGUCUGUGUUCCUCCAGGUGUUCAGGUAUUUAAUAAGUAUCUGUAAAGCAUGUCUGUGUUCCUCCAGGUGUUGAGGCGGGCAGC